AUUGAACGCUGGCGGCAGGCCUAACACAUGCAAGUCGAGCGGGGUUUUCGGACCUAGCGGCGGACGGGUGAGUAAUGCGUAGGAAGCUGCCCGAUAGAGGGGGAUACCAGUUGGAAACGACUGUUAAUACCGCAUAAUGUCUACGGACCAAAGUGUGGGACCUUCGGGCCACAUGCUAUCGGAUGCGCCUACGUGGGAUUAGCUAGUUGGUGAGGUAAUGGCUCAACAAGGCGACGAUCUCUAGCUGGUUUGAGAGGAUGAUCAGCCACACUGGAACUGAGACACGGUCCAGACUCCUACGGGAGGCAGCAGUGGGGAAUAUUGGACAAUGGGCGCAAACCUGAUCCAGCCAUGCCGCGUGUGUGAAGAAGGCCUUCGGGUUGUAAAGCACUUUCAGCGAGGAGGAAGGGGUGUGUGUUAAUAGUACACACCUUUGACGUUACUCGCAGAAGAAGCACCGGCUAACUCUGUGCCAGCCGCCGCAGUAAUAC
rnacentral:rRNA from 1 species